AAGUCGUAACAAGGUUUCCGUAGGUGAACCUGCGGAAGGAUCAUUAACACGUUAUCCACGUAUUCAAACCCAACUCUGUGAAUUUAAUCUCCCUUAUACUUGCAAUGUCAUUGUUCGAUCAGGUUAGUGGUGGGUGUACGACUGUAGUCAAAUACGGUGGUAUGCAAUUUGAUCGAGCUACGGGUUCAAUCCCAAGGUGACGUGAGUAUAAGCUUUUGUCUUGUUCAUUGCUACUUCGGUAGUGGUGAGCUCGACUUUUUUACCUCAUUUCCAUCACUAUGAUCCAAACAAACUAUUUUCACCCUUUGAAACAUUUUGACUGAUGUACUCAAUGUAAGAGAAAUCUGGCAAUGAGUGUUUGUAUCUAAACUAAGCACAACUCUUAGCAAUGGAUAUCUUGGUUCUC
rnacentral:misc_RNA from 1 species